GAUGAACGCUGGUGGCGUGCCUAACACAUGCAAGUCGAGCGAUUCUCUUCGGAGAAGAGCGGCGGACGGGUGAGUAACGCGUGGGUAACCUGCCCUGUACACACGGAUAACAUACCGAAAGGUAUGCUAAUACGAGAUAACAUGCUUUUAUCGCAUGGUAGAAGUAUCAAAGCUUUUGCGGUACAGGAUGGACCCGCGUCUGAUUAGCUAGUUGGUGAGUUAACGGCUCACCAAGGCGACGAUCAGUAGCCGACCUGAGAGGGUGAUCGGCCACAUUGGAACUGAGACACGGUCCAAACUCCUACGGGAGGCAGCAGUGGGGAAUAUUGCACAAUGGGCGAAAGCCUGAUGCAGCAACGCCGCGUGAGCGAUGAAGGCCUUCGGGUCGUAAAGCUCUGUCCUCAAGGAAGAUAAUGACGGUACUUGAGGAGGAAGCCCCGGCUAACUACGUG
rnacentral:rRNA from 1 species